rnacentral:rRNA from 1 species
CGGGAGUAACGCGUGGGCAACCUGCCUCAUACAGGGGGAUAAAAGUUAAGAAAGACUGCUAAUACCGCAUAAGCGCACAGCAUCGCAUGAUGCCGUGUGAAAAACUCCGGUGGUAUGAGAUGGACCCGCGUCUGAUUAGGUAGUUGGUGGGGUAACGGCCUACCAAGCCGACGAUCAGUAGCCGACCUGAGAGGGUGACCGGCCACAUUGGGACUGAGACACGGCCCAA